CGCCAACGUAUUCCUACUCUCGGGAAAGGUGUUUGGGACUUGUGUGUGUGUAAAUCCGUGAUUUAGUCCGGUGAAGUGGCAGAAAAUGUAAAACAGGGAGUUGAUCGUGGCAGUUCAAUCAGUUUCAUGCGGGUGAAGAAGUGGACCAAAAAAGAGAAAAUUCCCAACUACAGGCGUCAGUUGCGCUGCCAUCUGAGAUCACACUGGGACCUGUAUUACGCAGCAGGAUUUCGUCUUAUCCAGAUAAAUAAUCAUGGCCUCCGGUGGUACUCUUUUAUUCAUUUUCACUGCCCUCUGUGUUACUGCAGUCAAGAGUGGAUUUGUGAAAGUGGAAUGCAAAGCUGAAAAUGUGGGACAAUAUGGCCAACAGUCACUGCUGGAGUGUGUCAUCAAAACAUCAACAGAUAUAAAGGAUCCAACUAUCCGUACGGUUGCUUGGAAAAAAUUGACCUCGCCAGAAGACGAAGGUGAU